rnacentral:rRNA from 1 species
GGGUUGUGAGGUUAAGCGACUAAGCGUACACGGUGGAUGCCCUGGCAGUCAGAGGCGAUGAAGGACGUGCUAAUCUGCGAAAAGCGUCGGUAAGGUGAUAUGAACCGUUACAGCCGGCGAUGUCCGAAUGGGGAAACCCAGUGCAAUUCGUUGCACUAUCGUUAACUGAAUACAUAGGUUAACGAGGCGAACCGGGGGAACUGAAACAUCUAAGUACCCCGAGGAAAAGAAAUCAACCGAGAUUCCCCCAGUAGCGGCGAGCGAACGGGGAGCAGCCCAGAGUCUGAAUCAGCUUGUGUGUUAGUGGAACGGUCUGGAAAGUCCGACGGUACAGGGUGAUAGUCCCGUACACCAAAAUGCACAGGUUGUGAACUCGAAGAGUAGGGCGGGACACGUGGUAUCCUGUCUGAAUAUGGGGGGACCAUCCUCCAAGGCUAAAUACUCCUGACUGACCGAUAGUGAACCAGUACCGUGAGGGAAAGGCGAAAAGAACCCCGGCGAGGGGAGUGAAAAAGAACCUGAAACCGUGUACGUACAAGCAGUGGGAGCACCUUCGGGUGUGACUGCGUACCUUUUGUAUAAUGGGUCAGCGACUUAUAUUCUGUAGCAAGGUUAACCGUAUAGGGGAGCCGCAGGGAAACCGAGUCUUAACUGGGCGUUAAGUUGCAGGGUAUAGACCCGAAACCCGGUGAUCUAGCCAUGGGCAGGUUGAAGGUUGGGUAACACUAACUGGAGGACCGAACCGACUAAUGUUGAAAAAUUAGCGGAUGACUUGUGGCUGGGGGUGAAAGGCCAAUCAAACCGGGAGAUAGCUGGUUCUCCCCGAAAGCUAUUUAGGUAGCGCCUCGUGAACUCAUCUUCGGGGGUAGAGCACUGUUUCGGCUAGGGGGUCAUCCCGACUUACCAACCCGAUGCAAACUACGAAUACCGAAGAAUGUUAUCACGGGAGACACACGGCGGGUGCUAACGUCCGUCGUGAAGAGGGAAACAACCCAGACCGCCAGCUAAGGUCCCAAAGUCAUGGUUAAGUGGGAAACGAUGUGGGAAGGCACAGACAGCCAGGAUGUUGGCUUAGAAGCAGCCAUCAUUUAAAGAAAGCGUAAUAGCUCACUGGUCGAGUCGGCCUGCGCGGAAGAUGUAACGGGGCUAAACCAUGCACCGAAGCUGCGGCAGCGACACUAUGUGUUGUUGGGUAGGGGAGCGUUCUGUAAGCCUGCGAAGGUGACCUGUGAGGGUUGCUGGAGGUAUCAGAAGUGCGAAUGCUGACAUAAGUAACGAUAAAGCGGGUGAAAAGCCCGCUCGCCGGAAGACCAAGGGUUCCUGUCCAACGUUAAUCGGGGCAGGGUGAGUCGACCCCUAAGGCGAGGCCGAAAGGCGUAGUCGAUGGGAAACAGGUUAAUAUUCCUGUACUUGGUGUUACUGCGAAGGGGGGACGGAGAAGGCUAUGUUAGCCGGGCGACGGUUGUCCCGGUUUAAGCAUGUAGGCUGGUUAUCCAGGCAAAUCCGGAUAAUCAAGGCUGAGGUGUGAUGACGAGGCACUACGGUGCUGAAGUAACAAAUGCCCUGCUUCCAGGAAAAGCCUCUAAGCAUCAGGUAACAUCAAAUCGUACCCCAAACCGACACAGGUGGUCAGGUAGAGAAUACCAAGGCGCUUGAGAGAACUCGGGUGAAGGAACUAGGCAAAAUGGUGCCGUAACUUCGGGAGAAGGCACGCUGGUGUGUAGGUGAAGCCCCUGCGGGUGGAGCUGAGACCAGUCGAAGAUACCAGCUGGCUGCAACUGUUUAUUAAAAACACAGCACUGUGCAAACACGAAAGUGGACGUAUACGGUGUGACGCCUGCCCGGUGCCGGAAGGUUAAUUGAUGGGGUUAUCCGUAAGGAGAAGCUCUUGAUCGAAGCCCCGGUAAACGGCGGCCGUAACUAUAACGGUCCUAAGGUAGCGAAAUUCCUUGUCGGGUAAGUUCCGACCUGCACGAAUGGCGUAAUGAUGGCCAGGCUGUCUCCACCCGAGACUCAGUGAAAUUGAACUCGCUGUGAAGAUGCAGUGUACCCGCGGCAAGACGGAAAGACCCCGUGAACCUUUACUAUAGCUUGACACUGAACAUUGAGCCUUGAUGUGUAGGAUAGGUGGGAGGCUUUGAAGCGUGGACGCCAGUCUGCGUGGAGCCAACCUUGAAAUACCACCCUUUAAUGUUUGAUGUUCUAACGUUGGCCCCUGACCGGGGUUGCGGACAGUGUCUGGUGGGUAGUUUGACUGGGGCGGUCUCCUCCCAAAGCGUAACGGAGGAGCACGAAGGUUAGCUAAUCCUGGUCGGACAUCAGGAGGUUAGUGCAAUGGCAUAAGCUAGCUUGACUGCGAGCGUGACGGCGCGAGCAGGUGCGAAAGCAGGUCAUAGUGAUCCGGUGGUUCUGAAUGGAAGGGCCAUCGCUCAACGGAUAAAAGGUACUCCGGGGAUAACAGGCUGAUACCGCCCAAGAGUUCAUAUCGACGGCGGUGUUUGGCACCUCGAUGUCGGCUCAUCACAUCCUGGGGCUGAAGUAGGUCCCAAGGGUAUGGCUGUUCGCCAUUUAAAGUGGUACGCGAGCUGGGUUUAGAACGUCGUGAGACAGUUCGGUCCCUAUCUGCCGUGGGCGCUGGAGAAUUGAGGGGGGCUGCUCCUAGUACGAGAGGACCGGAGUGGACGCAUCACUGGUGUUCGGGUUGUCAUGCCAAUGGCACUGCCCGGUAGCUAAAUGCGGAAGAGAUAAGUGCUGAAAGCAUCUAAGCACGAAACUUGCCCCGAGAUGAGUUCUCCCUGAGACUUUAAGUCUCCUGAAGGAACGUUAAAGACGAUGACGUUGAUAGGCCGGGUGUGUAAGCGCAGCGAUGCGUUGAGCUAACCGGUACUAAUGAACCGUGAGGCUUAACCUUACAACGCCGAAG